rnacentral:lncRNA from 1 species
UUGAAGAAAUACAUUAUUAAUGAUAAUUAUGAUUACUUGAUGAUGAAAAUAAAAAAAUCUCGCUUCCUCUUCCACAUUCCUACGUAACGUGUUAAGAAAAAGAUUUAAUUGUAUAACGAAUUAAACGAGAGACAGACAGAUAAUUAAUUGUAUAAGGUGUUGUCGUCGAUUUUUUUUAAACGAGUACGAUAUACUAAGAGAACACAAGAUUACUUAUCUAAUUGUCAUUUUAUGCUCGACGAAUCGACGAUGUUUCAAUUAGGUGUGAAAAUGAAAAUAGGCCGAUUAAAGUACGAAUGAGUGUUGAGCGAGAGUGACGAAUUUUUUCCUUUUAUUGUAUACUUAUCAGAGUUUAUUAUUAAAUACUUGAAUAUUUAAACGAAAUGCGAGAUGCAGACGAGAAUGAGAAAGUGAGAAACAAAUGAGGGACAAAGUGGCGACGCUAAUGGCAGGGUAUACGAAUAAUAAAACAAAUAAAAGCAAACAAGCUAAUUUUUAAUCUCUAUGGUCCAGAAAAAAAAAAAAAAAAAAUGAUUAUCGACUAGAAAAAUUCAGAUACCAGAAAAAAAGUACAUUAAUAGGUAAAAGAAGCAUUCUAAUUAAUUGUCGAUGUGAUUGUAGUUUCUGUACGUUCAAAAAUUUCAUCGCAAAGUGUAUGAAAAAAACAAAACGAAAAAACAAAAAAAUAACAAAAAAACAAAAAUAAAAAAAAAAAUCAAUGCAUGAACAAUAAGUUAAUAAUUAUCGAUGGCAGAUGAAGUAAUUUAAGUGUAAAACUCGAGAAGACGAACCUGUUUGUAGAUUAAAAGCCAGAAAAGUCGCGAGACAGUAGCGUGAUAGAAAACAAAAAUGAAAAACCAAAAAAUUUCAAGCUAAUAAUUGACAAAAAGAAGCCACGUUUGGAAAGAGUUUCGAGAUGGAAAAAAAAAAUCAAUGAGUCUUUCAAUUUUAUUACCGUAAACUGCCAGUUUUUUCGAAUCAAGAAUUCAAAGCGUAAAUCUCGUGCGUGUUUUGACAAAAAAAAAACAAAAAAAAAAAACAAAAAAAAAACAAAUUUUGUCGUCGCGAAUGAAAUGACAAACUUACCGUAUAUACGCAUGAGAAAAACUUUGUUCCCUUUAUUUCGCAAAACAAAGAAAAUUAAAGAAAAACACUAUUAUCAUCGAAAAAUCAAUGAUUUCUGGCAUGUCUCGCAUUAGAUAGGUUCAAUACAUAUCUUUUAUUGUUAAAACAAAUUUGAUAUUUACAAUAAUCUGGCGUAAGCUUACUUUGUCCACCCAACAUGUAUGUAUUUACAUUUUAGUUGCAAUUACACUACAUCAAAUUCAACUGGUUGCAGUGAUUACUUUUCAUUUCCAAUUUCACGACUCGUCAAAUGAACAAUUCAAAUUUUACUUUUCAUCACAGUAGAAUAAUCAUCGAUUAUCAUCAUUAAAAAUUUCACAAAGUGGCAAACUUUCAAAAGCUUAACAGCUAUAAACUCUACUCUACUUCCUUUCGUUCGAAGCGAACUAAAAGUUUCAUCCGUUGUACUACCUCGUCCAAGUUUCACUUUUUCCUUGUUUCGCACAAAAGCAAAUGGCUGAGAAGUUAAAUAAUCAGCGAAAGCCAAAAAGCCGGCAGUUUGAGAAAAGAUAAAUAUCGGAGAUGGGCUUGCUCGCACACCCCCACACGGUAAAAUUUGCUCUUUUCCGCCUCCUGUUUAUUUUUUUCGCUCGCGAGAUUAACGAGGAGAAGAAAAACAGCAUAGGAAAAACAUAAGGACACCAAACGCCAUCGAUGCGCCACGAGAGUGUUUCUUUACCCUUAACUUUUAUUUUCCUUGUUUCGCUCUCAUGCAAUGAGAUAGCGCAGCUUCGUUUGAAAAAAAAAAAAAAAAGUCACACCCUUAGGAGAUAUUGUCACAGACAAUUAAAAUAGGACCAGAAUAGAUGUAUAGCGACGAAAGGUAUAACGUUAAUUUUUGGCAAAUUAUUUUUAUGAAACGCCAUCGCGCGUCCACACGUACAUACACAACACACAAGAGACUCACGCAGAGACGCGGUACACCAAAAUCCACUUUGUCACGGGGUGCCAAGGGAAUUGAAGCUCAAAAAGCUGAAAAAAGGUUCCCCCCAGUUAGCAGCCAAUAUUUGGAGCAUCUGUGUAAUCUUUUGUUCGUAAAACCAACUCACAAACACCCACUACAGUAAUCUAUAUGAAACACGCUAUAAUGGCUGGGGUACACAACCAACGUCGCGGUAGCCUUUUGUGUACAUAGAACGAAAUUGUUAACCAAAGCGAGACGCGUUUGAAAGGAAAACCACGGAUGAAACGUGUAUUGUUGAUCGAUCGUCGUUUUCGCGGUAGUGGACCAUACUAAGAGAGAACCCGUAUAUUUUCGAAAGUCAAAAAGUUACCUUAAAGUGAGGGGUACGACGACGCGUGCUUUUUUCUCUCACCGGGUGAAAGUUAAGAUUGGACUCGCAACAAAAAAAAAAAAAAAAAAAAAAACAAUAAAGUGAACACCACCGUCCUCCUCUGUUCGCUCGAACCAUCACGAAAGUCUCAAUGGCCGCGUCUGGUCUUGCUUCUACGCUGCGAUGACAGGCGCGCACGUGUACGCACGAAAGACGCGUAGGGAACGAGAUUCGAGCGCCUCAGAGGUAACCGAGUGCCAAUAAAUAAUUAAGGAUUUUUCAUCGUCAGCGUCGCCCGCCGAGGAAGAAACAGAAGAUACGAGGAACCCCUUUGAACAACAGCGCGCGCUGACUUUGUUUAAAAAAAACACACACACACACACACACACACACAAAGGAAUAAUAAUGAUAAUGAUAAUUAUAGUUGCGAUAGAUAGAUAAAAACAAAAAAUAAAAAGAUUAUUAUUGAUACACUUCGCCUUGUAACGAUGUAUAAAUACUGACGAAGGGAAGGACUUCAACCUCUACACCUCUCACGUAUAUAGGCUAGGAAUUGUCCUCGCGCUCGACGAGAGAGAGGGAGAGAGAGAUGAAAAAAAAAAAAAAA